AGAGAGAGGACACAUUCAUAACCACGUGGUCGCAUAUACCCGGGACGCUGAAACAGACGGGAGCUACCAGGAAAUUGAAGGUUGGUGGCAGAGAGGAUACAUUAAUAAUCG